GGCAUCUGUAGUCAGUCUGUCAUAUCCUCUUCUUAUGUCUAUCUUUCUUAGCUUUCUUCAACAAUCCUUUCUUUGAACUCUUUUUCUUUCCCUUCGCUAUUCUUUGGUUUAUUCUUUCCUCAAUUUUCGGAGAAUGAGGCGUAGUCUUAUAUCAAUAGAUCGUCGUGGCAUGAAAAAUUAUCCUACCUACGCUACGAACUCCUCCUCCUAUUGAUCAGAUCUCUUAUCUCUUUAUGCAAUUUCCAUUAUCUGUUCUACUAAAUAAUUUCAUCUCAUCGGAUAACCUUUAAG
rnacentral:misc_RNA from 1 species